CAGUCGAGCGAACAGACGAGGAGCUUGCUCCUCUGACGUUAGCGGCGGACGGGUGAGUAACACGUGGAUAACCUACCUAUAAGACUGGGAUAACUUCGGGAAACCGGAGCUAAUACCGGAUAAUAUAUUGAACCGCAUGGUUCAAUAGUGAAAGACGGUUUUGCUGUCACUUAUAGAUGGAUCCGCGCCGCAUUAGCUAGUUGGUAAGGUAACGGCUUACCAAGGCAACGAUGCGUAGCCGACCUGAGAGGGUGAUCGGCCACACUGGAACUGAGACACGGUCCAGACUCCUACGGGAGGCAGCAGUAGGGAAUCUUCCGCAAUGGGCGAAAGCCUGACGGAGCAACGCCGCGUGAGUGAUGAAGGUCUUCGGAUCGUAAAACUCUGUUAUUAGGGAAGAACAAAUGUGUAAGUAACUAUGCACGUCUUGACGGUACCUAAUCAGAAAGCCACGGCUAACUACGUGCCAGCAGCCGCGGUAAUACGUAGGUGGCAAGCGUUAUCCGGAAUUAUUGGGCGUAAAGCGCGCGUAGGCGGUUUUUUAAGUCUGAUGUGAAAGCCCACGGCUCAACCGUGGAGGGUCAUUGGAAACUGGAAAACUUGAGUGCAGAAGAGGAAAGUGGAAUUCCAUGUGUAGCGGUGAAAUGCGCAGAGAUAUGGAGGAACACCAGUGGCGAAGGCGACUUUCUGGUCUGUAACU
rnacentral:rRNA from 1 species